rnacentral:rRNA from 1 species
GAUGAACGCUGGCGGCGUGCCUAAUACAUGCAAGUCGAGCGAACAGACGAGGAGCUUGCUCCUCUGACGUUAGCGGCGGACGGGUGAGUAACACGUGGAUAACCUACCUAUAAGACUGGGAUAACUUCGGGAAACCGGAGCUAAUACCGGAUAAUAUAUUGAACCGCAUGGUUCAAUAGUGAAAGACGGUUUUGCUGUCACUUAUAGAUGGAUCCGCGCCGCAUUAGCUAGUUGGUAAGGUAACGGCUUACCAAGGCAACGAUGCGUAGCCGACCUGAGAGGGUGAUCGGCCACACUGGAACUGAGCCGCGGUCCAGACUCCUACGGGAGGCAGCAGUAGGGAAUCUUCCGCAGUGGGCGAAAGCCUGACGGAGCAACGCCGCGUGAGUGAUGAAGGUCUUCGGAUCGUAAAACUCUGUUAUUAAGGAAGAACAAAUGUGUAAGUAACUAUGCACGUCUUGACGGUACCUAAUCAGAAAGCCACGGCUAACUACGUG